rnacentral:rRNA from 1 species
UCUGUUUGAUCCUGGCUCAGGACGAACGCUGGCGGCGUGCUUAACACAUGCAAGUCGAACGGAAAGGCCCUGCUUUUGUGGGGUGCUCGAGUGGCGAACGGGUGAGUAACACGUGAGUAACCUGCCCUUGACUUUGGGAUAACUUCAGGAAACUGGGGCUAAUACCGGAUAGGAGCUCCUGCUGCAUGGUGGGGGUUGGAAAGUUUCGGCGGUUGGGGAUGGACUCGCGGCUUAUCAGCUUGUUGGUGGGGUAGUGGCUUACCAAGGCUUUGACGGGUAGCCGGCCUGAGAGGGUGACCGGCCACAUUGGGACUGAGAUACGGCCCAGACUCCUACGGGAGGCAGCAGUGGGGAAUAUUGCACAAUGGGCGCAAGCCUGAUGCAGCGACGCCGCGUGAGGGAUGACGGCCUUCGGGUUGUAAACCUCUUUCAGUAGGGAAGAAGCGAAAGUGACGGUACCUGCAGAAGAAGCACCGGCUAACUACGUGCCAGCAGCCGCGGUAAUACGUAGGGUGCGAGCGUUAUCCGGAAUUAUUGGGCGUAAAGAGCUCGUAGGCGGUUUGUCGCGUCUGUCGUGAAAGUCCGGGGCUUAACCCCGGAUCUGCGGUGGGUACGGGCAGACUAGAGUGCAGUAGGGGAGACUGGAAUUCCUGGUGUAGCGGUGGAAUGCGCAGAUAUCAGGAGGAACACCGAUGGCGAAGGCAGGUCUCUGGGCUGUAACUGACGCUGAGGAGCGAAAGCAUGGGGAGCGAACAGGAUUAGAUACCCUGGUAGUCCAUGCCGUAAACGUUGGGCACUAGGUGUGGGGACCAUUCCACGGUUUCCGCGCCGCAGCUAACGCAUUAAGUGCCCCGCCUGGGGAGUACGGCCGCAAGGCUAAAACUCAAAGGAAUUGACGGGGGCCCGCACAAGCGGCGGAGCAUGCGGAUUAAUUCGAUGCAACGCGAAGAAC